AUUUGGUGGCUUCUUAGACUCCAAACAAAAUGUUCAACAUCUCUUCAUUUAUUAUUACUACCACAUACCCAUAUAUCAUACCACCACAGUUUUUUUUCAAAGUCUUAUGUCCAAACCUAAACAACCAAGUUGAACAAUAAUACUCGUAACAAUUCAACUUCAAACAGACUCCAAAACCAAUUUGACCUCCACACCUAAGGUAGGAUAGAUAAUUCCACUUUCAAUCUUCAAAAUAGAUCAAAAGUAAGAAAAAAACCUACAUUAAUCCCUACAUUUUUAUAUACAAAUUUUAUCCAGUGCUAUAUAAUUGGUUUCUUAAGACUGUACAGGAUGAAAUCAAUCCUGCUUGUAGUGCCAAGGAUUUUGUGCCACUGCUCAACCGAGAGGCAUCCCUUUCUGUGGUGUGGCUCUUCUUGAUUCCUCAAUGGCAUCUUGUCCCUUGCUCUUGAUUUUCUAGAUCGGUAUGGAGGUUGAUCUCAUCCGUUGAUCGAGUAGAUCCUCACCUUAUAUAUGUAUUUAUGUACAUUACUUCAAAUUGAUCGGUUAUGGAUUUUAGAAUUUGAUCUUAUGGGCUCACAACAAAGGGGUACCUCAUUUUUAAAUUACUAGAGUUUUUCAUAUCACGAAACCCACAAGCAAGCCCAAAGACUAUAAGGUAUUUUGGGAAGAGGCAUUGUAAGACCCGUGUACCUAAAAUUUAAAUUAAGAAGUGAAAGUUUUGGCUAAGUGUUUAGGAUUGACGUUUUAGAAUACGGUCUUCACGAGAAGAAUCAAGUAUUUUGGGAAGAAGUAUUUCGCGAGGAAAAUAAGAAAUUUAAGGUUGUGAGCAAAGAAGUAUGCAAGAAAGCCUUGAAGUUUAAGUGUAAGUUCCUGUAAGAGUUUAAUGCGAGGUAAGGUUAGUUAGUUUGCGAGUAAGAUUUCUUGGAGUAAAAGUGUAACCACAUAAUAAGGAUGUUCACGAGGAAGGUUAGGCAAGUAAAGUUCUUCGCAGAAAUGAAGUUUGGUGAGGAGAAGAAGUAAGAAAAGUUCGAAGAAAUUUUUUAAGUGUGAUUAAUGGGCCACAUGUGGAGUUCAAGCUAAGCAUGACUAAGGACACAUCUUAAGUUUACACCUGCUCUAUUAAAAAGCAGGAGUUGACGAACUAAGAAGAGUUUAAUCAUGACUAAGCUCAUUUAAGAGCUUUAUAAAUAGAGGACUUUGGUCAUUAAGUAAGUACUAAUAUGUUUGGAAUAUGUCAAGAGUUGUAGUGCUGUCGAAUUAUUCUUGCAAGAAGAAGAAGAAAAGCAAAGUGUUGAGUUGUUGUUAAGUUGUUCCGCGCGAGAAGGAGAAGAGAAGCUUUUUAGUAAAAUGACUUAGGCGUUGAGGCCAAGAGAAGAGGGAAGUUUGGGCUUACCAAGCAAAGAGCUAUUAAGCAUUUAGUUAUAAGCUUAAGUGUAUUGUUUGUAUUUUGGUUAAGUAUUGUAUCUGUAUAUUCAUGUACUAAAUGCCUUGUUGGUAAUCAAAGUUAAAGUUUGUUUUA